rfam:Oesophagostomum dentatum strain OD-Hann O_dentatum-1.0_Cont4855.5, whole genome shotgun sequence.
CCAACGGCCCUCUUUAGGGCCACAAAUCUAUAUCGAGUAUCUUGA